UCCACAGAGGACUAUCCCGAGCUAGAUUCUUGAGCAUUCUCAAUAUUGUAUAACGAAAAAUAGUGCCCUUGUGACUUUAAAGAGGUUGUUUGGUUCAAAACAAGUUUAUCUCAUGAUUAUAAUCCUGGAAAUUAAACCAGGUUAGAUAAUCCACCUUCUACAUGGGAUAGGUAAUCCCACGAUUUUGAUAUAAAUUUUACCCUGAUUUUGUCUAAUACCCACAACCAAACUCUGGAUAAGUUUAAGCCCAAAUUUUAUACUGGAAUAACCCCACUCAUCCCUGUAACCAAGCAGCCCCUAUAGUGUAUGAUAUCCAACUUUGUGUUCUUGGAGAUUCGUGCAAAAGGAUUCAUCAGGACACUAAGGUGCCAGACUAUGUUUCUUCAAAAAAAAAGAACGGCAACAACUUCACUUCUUCCGCCUAUAAUAAAUUGAGUGAGACCCCAAAAGAAGAGGCUAG
rnacentral:lncRNA from 1 species